CCUACGGGAGGCAGCAGUGGGGAAUAUUGCGCAAUGGGCGGAAGCCUGACGCAGCGACGCCGCGUGAGGGAUGACGGCCUUCGGGUUGUAAACCUCUUUCGCCAGGGACGAAGCGCAAGUGACGGUACCUGGAUAAGAAGCACCGGCUAACUACGUGCCAGCAGCCGCGGUAAU
rnacentral:rRNA from 1 species